GUGUGUGUCUAUUUGCAUGUGACUGCCCAUGCAAAAUAUGUCCUAUUUCUGUUUUAGGAGCCUGUUUUCAUCUAAGUAGCAUCAUACAUGUCUUACUGUUCCAAUGAAACACCAUGUGCAGGGAGCUUACAGAAGGGAAAGGCUGGUUUGGCUUACAAUUCCGCAGGGGUGCAUCCGUCAUGGCGGGGAAGCACAGCGACAAGCAUGGCGGCUGGAGCUGGACGGCGAGAGGAGCUGGACGCUGGGAGGAGCUGGACGGUGAGAGGAGCUGGACGGCGAGAGCUCAUGUCACAAACUGCCACACAGCUUACAUCUCCCAGAGACCACCGGCUGCGGACCAGGCCCUCAGUACACAGGCCUAUGGGACAUCGUUAUUCACCGUCAGGUGUUGGCCAUCUCUCCACAUGGGACCUUGGAUGAGGUGUUCUGGCUAACCUGCAGAAGCUGGCCGAAGGUUGAGAAGUGGCCUUGGAACAAGGAUGGUCACAGGGAGUCAAGGAAACAAUAAAGCAGAUAUCCUCUCAGAGAGGUACUCAGCCACACCAUUAUCCUGUCAGAACCAAGGCUGCAACACGUGGAGUCAUGUGAUGCUCAGCCCAAAGAGGGUCAGACCAAAUGUGCACCACAGGGGCAGGGAGCCACGCAUGUUCUGAGGGUUCAGGAAGGUUACAAGAAAUGCCCAGGAUGCAGAUGAUGAAUGGGCAGUACGGCAGGCAGUGAGAAAUGAUGACCAGAGCUCACGUCCUGACUUACGCUAGGCCAGCCACACUUGCCAACCUAUCCCAUCCAUCAAGACAGGGGAACACAAGGAAAGAGGAGGACAUAAUAUAAUGCACACUUGGAUGUAAUCCGUGCAACUCUGACUGUGAUUUAAGGAGAAGAGGAAAAGCAAGAAAAACGCUUCAGCUGGAGCAGGCUGCGAAGCAUAUUUAGAGAACCAUUUCCAUUUUAGUAGCGUGUGUCUUUCCCAUAUCAAAUGACGCGUCUGGCAAACACUAAAGCGCAACACCUUUUGGGGCUCUAAGUGUCUCAACAAUAGAUGAAGUCAUCUUAAAGGGACCACAAAGCCACUUAGCAUCUGGCACUUUGUCUCCACCCUGGUGGGGACAAGAGAGAAGAGUGCUUGAGUGGCAGAGCACGCGUGGCUCCUGUCUGGAUGACGCACAGGGAGCCCUGUUCACCAUGUGACCUUCUCAUUGAGCCUGUGAGGAGAUGACUUCCCAAGUGGGGUGUAGUGCAAAGGUAUUAUCCUUCAUCAUUACACAGACGGUUUCCACAGAAAUCACAGCAGCAUGCAAAACAAAGAAUAAAAGGCACUUACAAAG